ACUUUACAUAAAUGUAGUUUUUAAAAAAAACUAAAUGAGGACAAUCCAGUCUUUUCAUUAUGAUAAUGUGAUUACAUUCAUUAAAGCUAUAGUGUGUAGUUUCUGUCGCCCCCCAUGAGGAAUUCUAAGUAAUAACAACACUGUCGGCG